rnacentral:rRNA from 1 species
ANNCNUGCAGUCGAACGGUAACAUGAGAGCUUGCUCUUGAUGACGAGUGGCGCACGGGUGCGUAACGCGUAUACAAUCUACCUUUUACAGGGGGAUAGCCUUUAGAAAUGAAGAUUAAUAUCCCAUGGUAUUAUUNACUGGCAUCAGUUAAUAAUUAAAGCUUCGGCGGUAAGAGAUGAGUAUGCGUUCUAUUAGCUAGAUGGUGUGGUAACGGCACACCAUGGCUACGAUAGAUAGGGGCCCUGAGAGGGGGAUCCCCCACACUGGUACUGAGACACGGACCAGACUCCUACGGGAGGCAGCAGUGAGGAAUAUUGGACAAUGGAGGCAACUCUGAUCCAGCCAUGCGGCGUGCAGGAAGACUGCCCUAUGGGUUGUAAACUGCUUUUAUACAGGAAGAAACCGCUCUACGUGUAGAGCUCUGACGGUACUGUAAGAAUAAGGAUCGGCUAACUCCGUGCCAGCAGCCGCGGUAAUACGGAGGAUCCAAGCGUUAUCCGGAAUCAUUGGGUUUAAAGGGUCCGUAGGUGGAUAAUUAAGUCAGAGGUGAAAGUUUGCAGCUCAACUGUAAAAUUGCCUUUGAUACUGGUUAUCUUGAGUUAUUAUGAAGUAGUUAGAAUAUGUAGUGUAGCGGUGAAAUGCAUAGAUAUUACAUAGAAUACCAAUUGCGAAGGCAGAUUACUAAUAAUUAACUGACACUGAUGGACGAAAGCGUGGGGAGCGAACAGGAUUAGAUACCCUGGUAGUCCACGCCGUAAACGAUGGUUACUAGCUGUUCGGACUUCGGUCUGAGUGGCUAAGCGAAAGUGAUAAGUAACCCACCUGGGGAGUACGUUCGCAAGAAUGAAACUCAANGGAAUUGACGGGGGCCCGCACAAGCGGUGGAGCAUGUGGUUUAAUUCGAUGAUACGCGAGGAACCUUACCAGGGCUUAAAUGUAGUGUGACAGGACUAGAGAUAGUUUUUUCUUCGGACACAUUANNNNNCUNCANNNNAGGUCAGCUCGUNCCAUGNGUUGUCNNNNGUCNAGACUCGNNUGACCCCUGNNNAGGUNGCNNNNNUCNNNAGNNNGUUANNAGACUGNCCUAGUAACUGNNNNNNNAGCGCAUGACCCCNGUUGUUAGUUGCCAGCGAGUCANGUCGGGAACUCUAACAAGACUGCCAGUGCAAACUGUGAGGAAGGUGGGGAUGACGUCAAAUCAUCACGGCCCUUACGUCCUGGGCUACACACGUGCUACANUGGUAUAGACAGAGAGCAGCCACUGGGCGACCAGGAGCGAAUCUAUAAACUAUAUCACAGUUCGGAUCGGAGUCUGCAACUCGACUCCGUGAAGCNGGAAUCGCUAGUAAUCGCAUAUCAGCCAUGAUGCGGUGAAUACGUUCCCGGGCCUUGUACACACCGCCCGUCAAGCCAUGGAAGCUGGGAGUGCCUGAAGUCCGUCACCGUAAGGAGCGGCCUAGG